CCCACAUUUAGAUAUAAUGUUAUAUAAUUUUAGAUAGUUUUUUAAAACUCUGAGGAGCCAGGGAAGAAGUGAGUUAGAGACCUGAAACAUUCACUAUUUCAAAGACCAGUUGGACUCCUUAACCCUGCUUUAGAUCAGGUAGUCGCCUUGGUCCAGACCAGCACCCCAGGGCAGUUUGUUAAGUAUACCGUUGUCUUUUUUUGAGGCCAGCUCUUGUUCAUGUGGUCAUAAACCUCUCUGUAGAGCCAAGUAAUUUGUACAACUCUACAGCUCACUGAGUGAAGGUGGAAAUACUUUCUUACACUUCCAGCCCAGAACACUUUCUGUUUUCCACACUUAACCUGUUGGUCUGAAAAGUCUCCUUGACACCCCCCAGCACUGACCCAAUAACUACUGAAGGAAGGGUUCAGAUGGGGAGAUAGUUCACUUACGGAUGUUGCAGAUAAACACCUGGGAUUUGUCAUCCAAAGCUGUUACUUCGGGAUGCGACCAGUGGCAUUUAUACCCUUAAGAUGACCGUGACCUCAGGGGACUUUGCUUUGGGAAAGGAGAAGUCACAAGUUUAGUGGAAAAAUAACCAGAGUCAAGGCUGUGUGUAGAUCAUUUUUUCACUUUUCUCCUUUCCUUUGUCAGAUGCUGUCUUAUUAGAAGACAUCUGAGUAUGUUUGAAUUUUCUGAAACUUAUCCAAGAAGGUACCAAGGAGGAUAUAGGCAGGAAGGAAGGAAAUCCAACCUAUGGUGUCAGAAUAGGCUGUGGCCUGUUGGAAGGCAGGUGACUCAGGUAAACGUUGAUAAAUGUUUCUUUCUGACAUGCGUUAGGAGCGUUACGAUUGUUCACAUCUCACUAGGUUGAUUUCCGCUGCGUUGUCCAAAUUAUAAAUCCCUAAUAGUUAAGUGAAGUUUCACGU
rnacentral:lncRNA from 1 species